CCUACGGGAGGCAGCAGUGAGGAAUAUUGGUCAAUGGACGAGAGUCUGAACCAGCCAAGUAGCGUGAAGGAUGACUGCCCUAUGGGUUGUAAACUUCUUUUAAAUGGGAAUAAAAUGUUCCACGUGUGGGAUUUUGUAUGUACCAUAUGAAUAAGGAUCGGCUAACUCCGUGCCAGCAGCCGCGGUAAUACGGAGGAUCCGAGCGUUAUCCGGAUUUAUUGGGUUUAAAGGGAGCGUAGGUGGAUUGUUAAGUCAGUUGUGAAAGUUUGCGGCUCAACCGUAAAAUUGCAGUUGAAACUGGCAGUCUUGAGUACAGUAGAGGUGGGCGGAAUUCGUGGUGUAGCGGUGAAAUGCUUAGAUAUCACGAAGAACUCCGAUUGCGAAGGCAGUUCACUGGACUGCAACUGACACUGAGGCUCGAAAGUGUGGGUAUCAAACAGGAUUAGAUACCCCUGUAGUC
rnacentral:rRNA from 1 species